GCGGGGGUUUCCAAGCCAGGUCUAAGGAGCGAGGCUUAGGACCUCGUGGCGAAGGCCUUCGUGGGUUCAAAUCCCACCCCCCGCA
rnacentral:tRNA from 1 species